GAUGAACGCUAGCGGCAGGCCUAAUACAUGCAAGUCGAACGGGAUCCAGAUCAAAGCUUGCUUUGGUUUGGUGAGAGUGGCGUACGGGUGCGUAACGCGUGAGCAACCUACCCUUGUCAGGGGGAUAGCCCGGCGAAAGUCGGAUUAAUACCGCAUGACAUAAUUGAGAGGCAUCUUUCGAUGAUCAAAGAUUUAUCGGACAAGGAUGGGCUCGCGUGACAUUAGCUAGUUGGUAAGGUAACGGCUUACCAAGGCUACGAUGUCUAGGGGCUCUGAGAGGAGAAUCCCCCACACUGGUACUGAGACACGGACCAGACUCCUACGGGAGGCAGCAGUAAGGAAUAUUGGUCAAUGGACGGAAGUCUGAACCAGCCAUGCCGCGUGCAGGAAGACGGCCCUAUGGGUUGUAAACUGCUUUUAUACGGGAACAAACGUCGGUACGUGUACCGGUCUGAGUGUACCGUAAGAAUAAGGAUCGGCUAACUCCGUG
rnacentral:rRNA from 1 species